rnacentral:rRNA from 1 species
UACGGAGGGGGCAAGCGUUAUUCGGAAUUAUUGGGCGUAAAGGGCGCGUAGGCGGCCGAUCAAGUCGGGGGUGAAAGCCUGUGGCUCAACCACAGAAUUGCCUUCGAUACUGUUUGGCUUGAGACCGGAAGAGGUUAGUGGAACUGCGAGUGUAGAGGUGAAAUUCGUAGAUAUUCGCAAGAACACCAGUGGCGAAGGCGGCCUGCUGGGCAGUUGCUGACACUGAGGCGCGACAGCGUGGGGAGCAAACAGG